UGGGAUUGUGGCUUAGUGGAAGAGUGCUCACCUAGCAUGUGUGAGGCCCUGUGUUCAAUCCUGCACAGAACAUUAA
rnacentral:tRNA from 1 species